rnacentral:lncRNA from 1 species
GUAAAAAUAAAUAUUUUUAAGUUUUCAUACAUUUCUCUGGGAGAAAUUUCUUGGACCGUAGCUUUUUUAUCUUCUAAGAUAUCCAUAUAGAGAAACUUACGUGAUCCACAUAAGAAUACUAUAUUUCCUCAGGCCUAGUGUAAAGUCCCUAGUCAACAACAACUGUGCAAGUUUUAUUUACAUCUGAAAUUUCCCUGUCUCUCUAGCCUCCUCAGGAUUUUGUAAAAAAAAAUAUCAAAAAUGCAAUGUUACAUGCACUCAAAAAAUUUUGGAUCAGCUUAUAUGACAACAGCAGCCAAUCAAAAUGGACUUGACUAGAUGGCUCAACUUUUACUGUGGACAAGGUUCAAUUAGGCAGUCCUGUCAUGGCUGAUAACCAAUGUGAAUAUAUAAAAGAUGAUCAGUUACUGAAUGGAGACUGCAGAGAACCUGGUUAUUGUAUAUCCAAGAAGAAUGCAUAUGGAGAU